GGGGUCGUAGCUCAGCGUGAGAGCGUCUCGUUUGCACCGAGAAGGUCAGGGGUUCAAAUCCCCUCGGCUCCA
rnacentral:tRNA from 1 species